GCAAACUUGGUCAUUUAGAGGAAGUAAAAGUUGUAACAAGGUUUCCGUAGGUGAACCUGCGGAAGGAUCAUUAACAAAUCCAAUACUUGCGUGGGGGAGACCCUACCGCAAAUAUUAAUCCCUAGCCUAUGCCUAGCGUGUAGGUUAGAAGAUAUAUAAAUGUGUGUUAUGUUGACAGUGUGUGAUAAUUAUAAUUUAUUGACAACUUUUAACAAUGGAUCUCUAGGCUCUUGCAUCGAUGAAGAACGCAGC
rnacentral:misc_RNA from 1 species